rnacentral:rRNA from 1 species
CCUACGGGUGACAGCAGUGAGGAAUAUUGGUCAAUGGACGCAAGUCUGAACCAGCCAUGCCGCGUGCAGGAAGACGGCUCUAUGAGUUGUAAACUUCUUUUGUACGAGAGUAAACGCAGAUACGCGUAUCUGUAUGAAAGUAACGUACGAAUAAGGAUCGGCUAAAUCCGUUCCAGCAGCCGCGGUAAUACGGAGGAUUCAAGCGUUAUCCGGAUUUAUUGGGUUUAAAGGGUGCGUAGGCGGUCGGAUAAGUUAGAGGUGAAAUCCCGGGGCUCCACUUUGGAAUUGCCGUUGAUACUGUUCGGCUAGAGAGUAGGUGAGGUAGGCGGAAUGUAUGGUGUAGCGGUGAAAUGCUUAGAGAUCAUACAGAACACCGAUUGCGAAGGCAGCUUACCAAGCUACUUCUGACGUUGAGGCACGAAAGCGUGGGGAGCAAACAGGAUUAGAUACCCGUGUAGUC